AUAAUAGUAAUGGCCUAAAUGGGGCUCAUAGGAAAAUGCAUGAGCAAACCACCCAUCUACUUACUGACUUCACCAAACCACAUAAAUGUAGUUUUAAAUUGUGACAAUAUCAUUGCUGCCAACUCUGCUCUAUCUCUUUUGUGGAUCAAUGAAAUUUCACAUUCAUUAAGAAAAUAAGUUAUUCUUAUAUAAUAUUUUAAAAAUAAUAUAAAAACUUCCC
rnacentral:lncRNA from 1 species